rnacentral:lncRNA from 1 species
CAGGUGCAGAGCUGACUGCGAAACAGUGACCAAGAAUGUUCCUCCUGAGCCAAGAGCUGAGCAGGGUUGAUCAGAGAGAGAGAGAGAGUGAGAGAGAGAGAGAGAGACAGAGCUAUCUGGAGUGACAGCAGCCAUGUAACAGAAGCAAUUAACAUUUGGCAGUGUCCCCUGGAGUGGAACACCUCAUAAAUCUCCCGCUACGAAAGCUGAGAGAACACGAGUCUCUUACUCCAUGCUGCUCCACGGGAAAGAAAGUGGGCAUUGUUCAGCAUCCAGGCUCAGGUUGUCUAGCUCCAUGGGAAGGAGUCUUGCUAUGAAGAAGGAGCAGUAUCACCUGUUCAAAGGCAGAGCUCACCCACUGGUGCCUCUCCAGCUUUUCAUUUAUAGGCCAAUCAUGGGAAUCGAAGAAGUAACCAAGGGAAGAAGUGUGGCAAGAGGAAUCCCUCCUCUACUUUCUAUGGAGCUGAACUCACCAUGAGUACUGCAGAAGUGAAAAGAACAAGAGUCCUACUUCAAAAAAACAACAAAAUUAAGUGUUUCUCUCUUUUUUCUUUGCCUGACAACAAUCAGCUAUGACACCCUGUAUCAGCAAAUGGAGAACGUUCAAAGCAUUGAAAGAUUCUACAUUAAUAACUGAAUCCCAUUAUUGGACCCUAUAUUUGUGCAUUUUUGAUAUGAUGAAAAUACAGAUUAGAGAAAAAUAACUGUCUAGAUACUACAGUGUCAAGUGUAUUAGUAACACAUAGAUAAAUUUAGAUAGAAAAAGCACAGGUGUCUUUACAAAAAGCUGCAAGAAAUAAAUGAGAAAAAU